rnacentral:rRNA from 1 species
UACGUAGGGGGCUAGCGUUGUCCGGAAUCAUUGGGCGUAAAGAGCGUGUAGGCGGCCCGGUAAGUCCGCUGUGAAAGUCGGGGGCUCAACCCUCGAAUGCCGGUGGAUACUGUCGGGCUAGAGUGCGGAAGAGGCGAGUGGAAUUCCUGGUGUAGCGGUGAAAUGCGCAGAUAUCAGGAGGAACACCGGUGGCGAAGGCGGGUCUCUGGGCCGAUACUGACGCUGAGGAGCGAAAGCGUGGGGAGCGAACAGG